CCUACGGGUGGCAGCAGUGAGGAAUAUUGGUCAAUGGGCGAGAGCCUGAACCAGCCAAGUCGCGUGAGGGAGUACUGCCCUAUGGGUUGUAAACCUCUUUUGUCGGGGAGCAAAAGCCGGACGUGUCCGGCUGUGAGAGUACCCGAAGAAAAAGCAUCGGCUAACGCCGUGCCAGCAGCCGCGGUAAUACGGAGGAUGCGAGCGUUAUCCGGAUUUAUUGGGUUUAAAGGGUGCGCAGGCGGAGUUUUAAGUCAGCGGUAAAAUCGUGGGGCUCAACCCCAUCCAGCCGUUGAAACUGGGGAUCUAGAGUGUGCGAGAGGUAUGCGGAAUGCGUGGUGUAGCGGUGAAAUGCAUAGAUAUCACGCAGAACCCCGAUUGCGAAGGCAGCAUACCGGUGCACAACUGACGCUCAGGCACGAAAGCGUGGGUAUCGAACAGGAUUAGAUACCCUUGUAGUC
rnacentral:rRNA from 1 species